AUUUAAAAUGCCUUAAUGAGCUUUAUUCUCGUUUAUUGGUCGACGUUCGACCUAUGUUUACUAACGAGCAGCUGUUAGAUAGAAUUUAUGACCCCGACCAUACUCUGUGUCGAAAUUUUGGAGCUGAAAUAUAUGUGCCAAAGCACGCUCAUGACGGAAAGACUUGUACUGCAAUAAGAUCUGAAGCUUCUGGCAAUUGCCUCUACAGUUCAGCUUCCCUAGUUCUGGACACUUAAAAACUAUCAGCGAAGUACCAUGGUUGGGGAACGCUUAAAUGGUUUGGCCUUGAUGCAAAUUCAUCAGGAAAUUGUACCAGAUAUUGGUGUGUAGGCGAACUUCUGGCGCCAUAACCAGUCUGCUUAAUUCGGCUCUCACAGGGCUGUCCAUGCCGGAUCACGAUUUUUUGUUUUGCGUUAAAGUGUUCCUAGGCAUGCUGAUGAGCCCUGAUAUGGGGCGAAACAGUCUUGUGUGCAUUCAAUAUUCUGAAUAGUGAAAAUCAACGACCUUGUGAUAUGUAAGUAUAAAUAUACAAUGUUUUUAUGUAUUUAUACGAUUGAGAUCUACAAGAUUCUGCAUAGCUGAAUGAUUAGACUGUUUGAUUUAAACAAUUUAUCGAAAGCAUAAAUAGUGUAGUAUGUUUUGCAAAGUAUGACGUCAUAGGUUUAGCACUGAAUGACGUCAUAAUGUUUUGCCUAUGGUAUCCAAAAUCCUAGAUCCG